CCUACGGGAGGCAGCAGUGGGGAAUUUUGGACAAUGGGCGCAAGCCUGAUCCAGCCAUUCCGCGUGAGUGAAGAAGGCCUUCGGGUUGUAAAGCUCUUUCGCAAGGGAAGAAAACUUAGUCUCUAACAUAGACUGAGGUUGACGGUACCUUGAUAAGAAGCACCGGCUAACUACGUGCCAGCAGCCGCGGUAAUACGUAGGGUGCGAGCGUUAAUCGGAAUUACUGGGCGUAAAGCGUGCGCAGGCUGUUUUGUAAGUCAGAUGUGAAAUCCCUGAGCUCAACUUAGGAACUGCGUUUGAAACUACAAGACUAGAAUAUGUCAGAGGGGGGUAGAAUUCCACGUGUAGCAGUGAAAUGCGUAGAGAUGUGGAGGAAUACCAAUGGCGAAGGCAGCCCCCUGGGAUAAUAUUGACGCUCAUGCACGAAAGCGUGGGGAGCAAACAGGAUUAGAUACCCUGGUAGUCCACGCCCUAAACGAUGUCUACUAGUUGUUGGUGGAGUAAAAUCCAUGAGUAACGCAGCUAACGCGUGAAGUAGACCGCCUGGGGGAGUACGGUUCGCAAGAUUAAAACUCAAAGGAUUGACGGCUUGAGACGNGCGAGACGACGACGAGGAGGAGG
rnacentral:rRNA from 1 species